GUUUUCCGUCUCGGACCGUGCACAAGUUCCCUGGAACGGGGCGUCAUAGAGGGUGAGAAUCCCGUAUAUGGCACGGUCUGCCGAUGCUUUUGUGAUACACUCUCAACGAGUCGAGUUGUUUGGGAAUGCAGCUCAAAAUGGGUGGUAAAUUCCUCUAAGCUAAAUAUUGGCGAGAGCCGAUAGCGAMCAAGUMCCGUGAGGGAAAGAUGAMGCMCUUUGGAAAGAGAGUGAAACAGUMCGUGAAAUUGUUGAAAGGGAAGCGUUUGAAGUCAGUCGUAUCUGGCGGGAUUCAGUCGAGCUUUUGCCCGGUGUACUUCUCGUCCGAUGGGUCAGCWUCAAUUUCGACCGGGGGAAAAMGAUGUGGGGAAUGUGGCUGUCUUCGGGCAGUGUUAUAGCCCCGUGUUGUAUGCCUCGG
rnacentral:rRNA from 1 species